GACGAACGCUGGCGGCGUGCUUAACACAUGCAAGUCGAACGAUGAAGGAGAGAGCUUGCUCUUUUUGGAUUAGUGGCGAACGGGUGAGUAACACGUGAGUAAUCUGCCCCGGACUCUGGGAUAAGCGUUGGAAACGACGUCUAAUACCGGAUAUGAAGCGUGGAGGCAUCUUCUGCGUUUGGAAAGAUUUUUUGGUUUGGGAUGAGCUCGCGGCCUAUCAGCUUGUUGGUGAGGUAAUGGCUUACCAAGGCGACGACGGGUAGCCGGCCUGAGAGGGUGACCGGCCACACUGGGACUGAGACACGGCCCAGACUCCUACGGGAGGCAGCAGUGGGGAAUAUUGCACAAUGGGCGCAAGCCUGAUGCAGCAACGCCGCGUGAGGGAUGACGGCCUUCGGGUUGUAAACCUCUUUCGAUACCGACGAAGCCUUAUGGUGACGGUAGGUGUAGAAGAAGGACCGGCCAACUACGUGCCAGCCGC
rnacentral:rRNA from 1 species